rnacentral:ncRNA from 2 species
AAAACACGAAUGCGGUUUGGUGCCCCGUAGAGGGUGAAAAGGGAAUUCCGUGCGAUGCGGCGACAUCAAAUCGGAAGCUGCCCCGCAACUGUGAUCUCGAUCUCGCGUGCGGCGAGAUAAAAGUCCCCGAUCUCGAAAGCCACUGUCCGCUGGAUGGGAAGGCCGAUCGGGGAUCGAGAAAGCCAGGAGACCUGCCAAACCGCCAGAGGCAAA